rnacentral:rRNA from 1 species
GACGUAGGGCGCGAGCGUUGUCCGGAUUUAUUGGGCGUAAAGAGCUCGUAGGCGGCUUGUCGCGUCGUCCGUGAAAACCUGGGGCUCAACUCCAGGCUUGCGGUCGAUACGGGCAGGCUAGAGUUCGGUAGGGGAGACUGGAAUUCCUGGUGUAGCGGUGAAAUGCGCAGAUAUCAGGAAGAACACCCGUGGCGAAAGCGGCUCUCUGGAGCGGUACUGACGCUGAGACGCGAAAGCGUGGGGAGCGAACAGG